rnacentral:rRNA from 1 species
AUCGAACGCUGGCGGCAGGCCUAACACAUGCAAGUCGAACGAGUGGCGGACGGGUGAGUAAUGUCUGGGAAACUGCCUGAUGGAGGGGGAUAACUACUGGAAACGGUAGCUAAUACCGCAUACCAUCAGAUGUGCCCAGAUGGGAUUAGCUUGUUGGUGGGGUAACGGCUCACCAAGGCGACGAUCCCUAGCUGGUCUGAGAGGAUGACCAGCCGCAAUGAAACUGAGCCACGGGCCGGACUCCUACGGGAGGCAGCGGUGGGGAAUAGUGCACAAUGGGCGAAAGCCUGAAGCAGCCAUGCCGCGUGUAUGAAGAAGGCCUUCGGGUUGUAAAGUGCUUUCAGCGGGGAGGCGUUACCCGCAGAAGAAGCGCCGGCUAACUCCGUGCCAGCAGCCGCGGUAAUAC